rnacentral:rRNA from 1 species
UCCUACGGGAGGCAGCAGUGGGGAAUAUUGCACAAUGGGCGAAAGCCUGAUGCAGCAACGCCGCGUGAGGGAAGACGGUUUUCGGAUUGUAAACCUCUGUUUUCGGUGACGAAGAAUGACGGUAACCGAGUAGGAAGCCACGGCUAACUACGUGCCAGCAGCCGCGGUAAUACGUAGGUGGCAAGCGUUAUCCGGAAUUACUGG